rnacentral:rRNA from 1 species
UUUAUGGAGAGUUUGAUCCUGGCUCAGGAUGAACGCUGGCGGCGUGCCUAAUACAUGCAAGUCGAGCGAACGGACGAGAAGCUUGCUUCUCUGAUGUUAGCGGCGGACGGGUGAGUAACACGUGGAUAACCUACCUAUAAGACUGGGAUAACUUCGGGAAACCGGAGCUAAUACCGGAUAAUAUUUUGAACCGCAUGGUUCAAAAGUGAAAGACGGUCUUGCUGUCACUUAUAGAUGGAUCCGCGCUGCAUUAGCUAGUUGGUAAGGUAACGGCUUACCAAGGCAACGAUGCAUAGCCGACCUGAGAGGGUGAUCGGCCACACUGGAACUGAGACACGGUCCAGACUCCUACGGGAGGCAGCAGUAGGGAAUCUUCCGCAAUGGGCGAAAGCCUGACGGAGCAACGCCGCGUGAGUGAUGAAGGUCUUCGGAUCGUAAAACUCUGUUAUUAGGGAAGAACAUAUGUGUAAGUAACUGUGCACAUCUUGACGGUACCUAAUCAGAAAGCCACGGCUAACUACGUGCCAGCAGCCGCGGUAAUACGUAGGUGGCAAGCGUUAUCCGGAAUUAUUGGGCGUAAAGCGCGCGUAGGCGGUUUUUUAAGUCUGAUGUGAAAGCCCACGGCUCAACCGUGGAGGGUCAUUGGAAACUGGAAAACUUGAGUGCAGAAGAGGAAAGUGGAAUUCCAUGUGUAGCGGUGAAAUGCGCAGAGAUAUGGAGGAACACCAGUGGCGAAGGCGACUUUCUGGUCUGUAACUGACGCUGAUGUGCGAAAGCGUGGGGAUCAAACAGGAUUAGAUACCCUGGUAGUCCACGCCGUAAACGAUGAGUGCUAAGUGUUAGGGGGUUUCCGCCCCUUAGUGCUGCAGCUAACGCAUUAAGCACUCCGCCUGGGGAGUACGACCGCAAGGUUGAAACUCAAAGGAAUUGACGGGGACCCGCACAAGCGGUGGAGCAUGUGGUUUAAUUCGAAGCAACGCGAAGAACCUUACCAAAUCUUGACAUCCUUUGACAACUCUAGAGAUAGAGCCUUCCCCUUCGGGGGACAAAGUGACAGGUGGUGCAUGGUUGUCGUCAGCUCGUGUCGUGAGAUGUUGGGUUAAGUCCCGCAACGAGCGCAACCCUUAAGCUUAGUUGCCAUCAUUAA